GAGGCAAUUAAAAUGCAGAGGACAACGG
rnacentral:piRNA from 1 species